CUUGAGGAGUAAGAGUGUUAACUAAAGUUGUUUAUUACUUGAUUUUUCUUUUGGCUCUGCAUUCCCAGGCCUCCCUAAAAGGACAGAGAGAGGACCAGUCCAUCCAAUACACAAGCGCAAGGCCCCUGUGCCAUGUACUGUGUUUAACAACGACGCUGGCUUUGGUGGAGUACAGACACACAUAUGUGCUACAGGAAGCAUGGCCAAAGAAGCCUCAGGAAACUUACAGUCAUGGCAGAAGGUUAAGAGGAAGGAGGCACAUCCUACAUGGCUGGCGCAGGAGAAAGAAAGAGAGUGGGGAGGUGCCACACACUUUUAAACAAUCAGAUCCCAUGAGAACUCACUAUCCUUAGAACAGCAGAGGCAAAAUAUGCCCACAAGAUCCAAUCACCAGGCCCUACCUCCAACACUGGUGAUUACAGUUCGAUAUAAGAUUUGGAUUGGGACACAAAUCCAAACCAUAUCAACUGUCAUUCAUGGCCAGGAUGUUCUACUGAAUAGCAGCCUUGCUCUAUUUGAAAAUAUAGAGUUUUAGGCCAGGUGUGGUGGCUCACACCUAUAAUCCCAGCACUUUGGGAGGCCGAGGUGGGUGGAUCACGAGGUCAAGAGAUCGAGACCAUCCUGGUCAACAUGGUGAAACCCCGUCUCUACUAAAAAUACAAAAAUUAGCUGGGCAUGGGGGCUGGUGCCUAUAGUCCCAGCUACUUGGGAGGCUGAGGCAGGAGAAUUGCUUGAACCCAGGAGGCGGAAGUUGCGGUGAGCCAAGAUCGUGCCAUUGCACUCCAGUCUGGGUAACAAGAGUGAAACUCCAUCUCAAAAAAAAAAAAGAAAAAAAGAAAAUAUAGAGUUCUGAGUGGAUGCAGUGGCUUACACUUGUAAUCCCAGCAUUUUGGGAGGUUGAUACAGGUGGAUUACCUGAGGACCAUUCAAAACCAGCCUGACCAACAUGGUGAAACCCUGUAUCUACUAAAUACAAAAAAUUAGCUGGGUGUGGUGGCACAUGCCUGUAAUCCCAGCUACUUGGGAGUGGGGCAGGAGAAUCACUUGAACCUGAGAGACAGAAGUUGCAGUGAGCCAAGAUCACACUGUUGCACUCCAGCUUAUGCAACAAAAGUGAAACUGUCUCAAAAAAAAAUAAAGAAAAGAAAAAGGAAAUGUAGAGUUCUUCGUUUAUUUCUUGUCUUAUCUGCUAGAUUGUAAGCUCCAUUACUGUAGGGACUAUGCUUGUGA
rnacentral:lncRNA from 1 species